GGCGGGAACGGGCGUGAGGGGAGAGCGGGGGCCGGGCGGGGCCGUGAGGGGAGAGCGGGGACCGGGUAGGGCCGUGAGGGGAUCCGCUCUCCUCUGGGUGCUCCGGGGCGAGACACACACUGUCCGUGCCUCCACAGCUCCCGAGUCCGCCCUUUGUCCUUCUGCGAAUACGCUGAUGGUUGCGGCAGCUAAAUGUGAGUGAGGUCUCCGAGGUAACGGCGCUCCUGCAUAUAAAAAUUGAAACAUUUUAAAACAUGGCUAUCCUACUCCUAAAAAUGGAAUCGGUGAACUUUCGGUUUGGACGUGCCAUCACUGAUAUUGGGAGAGGAACACAGCUCUCAGCAGACAAAUACAGCAGGCAGCAAAACAUCACCAGCACUGGGCUUCAGAAAUCCUCAGGACAGCCACUUUUUACCAGUUUGUGAGUGUUUGAAUGCACCAUCAGGAAGGCAGCCACAAACCCAGCUGUGUGGGAUCUGCCUGUGUUACCCUGUAAAGGCAUUUUGGGAGCACAGCUCUGAGGAGACAGACUGCUAAAUAAACAGGUCCAGAUCUUAGUGUCAUUCUGGUGAAGACCAGGAAAGCACCAGGAGAUGGGAUAAAAUCUGUGUUGUUGGUCUGCAGGCACAUUUCAUCCCCAGGCUGCCUCAUCCUGUUACCCAAUCCUGGCAGCACCAAGGGGUAACAGCCCUGCUCACCUGCCUGAGUUUUGGGGCAUUGCACUGAAAGUUAGUUGGUCAUUAAAAAAUAGGUAAUUUAUUUCCAUGUCUGGCUAUUAAUAGUGGAUCAUUAUAAAUAAAGCCAGGCUUAAUGCAGUAAAAAAAUAAAAAUAAAACCAAAAAAUCUCCAACAAAACUGAUUUAAGUGAAAAACAAGCCAGCUUUCUGCAUACAACAAAUUCUUCCUGGAAAACCGAUUUUAAACAACUAAUGAGUUUAGUUUUAGGCACUUUCCAAGGUGCUGUGCAGGCCACUGGGAAUCCCUCAUCUCACAACCCACCUUUUGCGGGGGGCAGAGGAGGAUGUGACUGGGAGAGGC